rnacentral:rRNA from 1 species
GACGAACGCUGCGGCGUGCCUAAUACAUGCAAGUAGAACGCUGAAGAGAGGAGCUUGCUCUUCUUGGAUGAGUUGCGAACGGGUGAGUAACGCGUAGGUAACCUGCCUUGUAGCGGGGGAUAACUAUUGGAAACGAUAGCUAAUACCGCAUAACAAUGAAUGACUCAUGUCAUUUAUUUGAAAGGGGCAAUUGCUCCACUACAAGAUGGACCUGCGUUGUAUUAGCUAGUUGGUGAGGUAACGGCUCACCAAGGCGACGAUACAUAGCCGACCUGAGAGGGUGAUCGGCCACACUGGGACUGAGACACGGCCCAGACUCCUACGGGAGGCAGCAGUAGGGAAUCUUCGGCAAUGGACGGAAGUCUGACCGAGCAACGCCGCGUGAGUGAAGAAGGUUUUCGGAUCGUAAAGCUCUGUUGUAAGUCAAGAACGAGUGUGAGAGUGGAAAGUUCACACUGUGACGGUAACUUACCAGAA